rnacentral:ncRNA from 1 species
CAAACAAGUUGAUUUCUUUCAAAUUUUAUGACAAAAUAACCCCGCAUUCCGGCGUAGCUCAGCGGUAGAGCGGCUCCCUGUGUAAAUUAAGACGCAGCUUCCGGGAGUAAUCUCGGCUGAAAAACGAGGUGAAUUGCGGGAAACCUAAAUCCUUUUGGACAUGGCAAUCCGCAGCCAAGGUCGUCUGUGACGACAAGGUUCAGAGACUAUCUCGAAAGAGAGUAGCCGACCAAGCAUUGGUUUGGCGAAGCGCCUCGCCCCCGCGACUGCGGGGUGAUGAUAUAGUCCGCCCCUAAAGGAAACUUUGGG